rnacentral:rRNA from 1 species
AAUAUUUUGUUACAUUAAUUUAUAUUAAUUUUAUAAAUUUUUAAUUAGGUUAUAUAUAUAUAUAAAUAAAAAAAAUAUUUUUAUUCUUAUAAUUAUUUAUAAAUUGAUUUUAAUUUGAUAGUUUAUUUUACUGUAAAGUAAAUUUUUAUAAUUUUAAAAGAAUAAAUUCAUAUUAUUACCUUUUGUAUCAGGGAGGAACAAAUAUUAUUUUUAUUUUUAUUUUCUCGAAAUUAUAAUGAGCUAUUUAAAUUAAAGUUGUAUUUUGUUGCAAUAAAAUUUUUUAAAUUUAUAUAGAGAUGAAAUGUUAUUCGUAUUUAAUGUUAUCUAGUUUUUAUUUUAAAAAUAAUUUUUUUUCUCAAGGAUAAGCUUAAGAAAUUUUAUAAAAAAUGAUAAUUUAGAGUUAUAAGGAGUUGAAAGUGCUUUAUAUUUUGUUAGUGUAAUUAUUAUUAUUUUUAUUAUUUUUAUUUAUUAAAAUAGAUUUUUUUUUAAAUUUAAUAAAAUAAGUAAAAAUGUUUCUAUUAGUAUAAAUAUUUUUAUAAUAAAAGGGAAUAUAAAUUUUAUUUAAGGAAUUCGGCAAAAAAAUUUUCGUCUGUUUAUCAAAAACAUAGCUUUUUGGUGAAAGUAAAAAGUAGGGUCUGCCCAGUGAGUAAUUUUAACGGCCGCAAUAUUUGUGCGAAGGUAGCAUAAUCAUUUGUCUUUUAAUUGAUGACUGGAAUGAAUGGCUGGACGGGGAUAAGCUGUCUUAUGUAUAUAUAUUUGAAAUUUACUUUUAAGUAAAAAGGCUUAAAUAUUUUAGAGGGACGAGAAGACCCUAUUGAGUUUAAUAGAAUUUAUUUAAAUUUUUCUUAAAUUUUUAUGUAAUCUAUUUAGUUGGGGAGAUUUGAUAUUAUUAACUAUAUAAGAAUUAAUAGACUUUAAGUUUUUAGGAUCCAUAUUUUAUGAGUGUUAAGGUAAAUUACCUUAGGGAUAACAGCGUAAUAUUUUUUUAGAGUUCAAAUCGAUUAAAAUGAUUACGACCUCGAUGUUGGAUUAAGGAACCUAAUUUGGAGAAGAUUUUAAUUUAGGUAGUCUGUUCGACUAUUAAAUCUUUACAUGAUCUGAGUUCAGACCGGCGUAUGCCAGGUCAGUUUUUAUCUUCUAUAUUAUUGUAUAAUUUUUUUGUACGAAAGGACAAAGAAUUAGAAUUUAAUUU